GUUGCCGCAAAAUCGGCAACCGGGCGUAGGAACUCGAUAUGUUUACAGGCGACAUCAGACGCGCCAUGCGUCUUUUUU
rnacentral:sRNA from 2 species